rnacentral:rRNA from 1 species
GACGAACGCUGGCGGCGUGCUUAACACAUGCAAGUCGAACGGAAAGGCCCUGCUUUUGUGGGGUUCUCGAGUGGCGAACGCGUGUGUAACACGUGAGUAACCUGCCCUUGACUUUGGGAUAACUUCAGGAAACUGGGGCUAAUAUCGCAUAGGAGCUCCUGCUGCAUGGUGUGGGUUGGAAAGUUUCGGCGGUUGUGGAUGGACUCGCGGCUUAUCAUCUUGUUUGUGGAGUAGUGGCUUACCAAGGCUUUGACGGGUAGCCGACCUGAGAGGGUGACCGGCGACAAUGGGACUGAGGUACGGACCAGAAGGGAACGGGAGGCAACAGGGGGGAAUAUUGCAGAAUGGGGGGGAGUGAGAUACAGAGACGCCGGGUGCGGGAAGACGGGCUUCGGGUUGUAAACCGAUUUCGACUGUGACGAAGCGUGAGUGACGGUAAUGGGUAAAGAAGCACCGGCUAACUACGUG